rfam:Geobacter metallireducens GS-15, complete genome.
UUUCCGAAAGGGCAAACUUCGGGUAACCGGGGGACGCAAAGCCACGGGUCCUGACUCCAUGGUCAGGAUAGCCGGGUUGUCGAA